CCUACGGGAGGCAGCAGUGGGGGAUAUUGCACAAUGGGGGGAACCCUGAUGCAGCGACGCCGCGUGGGUGAAGAAGCGCCUCGGCGCGUAAAGCCCUUUUAGUAGGGAAGUAAAUGACGGUAUCUGAAGAAGAAGCUCCGGCUAACUACGUGCCAGCAGCCGCGGUAAUACGUAGGGGGCAAGCGUUAUCCGGAUUUACUGGGUGUAAAGGGGGCGUAGGCGGAGUAGCAAGACAGGAGUGAAAGCCUGGGGCCCAACCCCAGAACUGCCGUUGAAACUGGGUGGCUGGAGUGCAGGAGGGGCAGGCGGAAUUCCUGGUGUAGCGGUGAAAUGCGUAGAUAUCACGAGGAACACCGAUGGCGAAGGCGGCCUGCUGGACUGCAACUGACGUUGAGGCCCGAAAGCGUGGGGAGCAAACAGGAUUAGAUACCCCAGUAGUC
rnacentral:rRNA from 1 species